GGGAGGUGGGGAAGAAGGGCCGGGAGAAGACGAAGGGGGAAACUGUGGCUCUGAAUUGUGGGGCGUAAGUCGAACGGUGGCGGCUUAGCAAGUCCCAUGUGAAUGCCCACGGCUGAACCGUGGAAGUGCAUGGGAAACUGCUGAGCUUGAGUACUUAAGAGGAUCGCGGAAUUCCCGGUGUAGAGGUGAAAUUCGUAGAUAUCGGGAGGAACACCAGUGGCGAAGGCGGCGAUCUGGGAAGAUACUGACGCUGAGGUGCGAAAGCGUGGGGAGCAAACAGGAUUAGAUACCCUUGUAGUC
rnacentral:rRNA from 1 species